rnacentral:rRNA from 1 species
AUUGAACGCUGGCGGCAUGCCUUACACAUGCAAGUCGAACGGUAACAGGUCUUCGGAUGCUGACGAGUGGCGAACGGGUGAGUAAUACAUCGGAACGUGCCCGAUCGUGGGGGAUAACGGAGCGAAAGCUUUGCUAAUACCGCAUACGAUCUACGGAUGAAAGCAGGGGACCUCAAGGCCUUGCGCGGACGGAGCGGCCGAUGGCAGAUUAGGUAGUUGGUGGGAUAAAAGCUUACCAAGCCGACGAUCUGUAGCUGGUCUGAGAGGACGACCAGCCACACUGGGACUGAGACACGGCCCAGACUCCUACGGGAGGCAGCAGUGGGGAAUUUUGGACAAUGGGCGAAAGCCUGAUCCAGCCAUGCCGCGUGCAGGAUGAAGGCCUUCGGGUUGUAAACUGCUUUUGUACGGAACGAAAAGACUCUUUCUAAUAAAGAGGGUCCAUGACGGUACCGUAAGAAUAAGCACCGGCUAACUACGUG